rnacentral:rRNA from 1 species
UACGUAGGGUGCGAGCGUUAAUCGGAAUUACUGGGCGUAAAGCGUGCGCAGGCGGUUUUGUAAGCCAGAUGUGAAAUCCCCGGGCUUAACCUGGGAAUGGCAUUUGGGACUGCAAGGCUUGAGUGCGGCAGAGGAGACUGGAAUUCCUGGUGUAGCAGUGAAAUGCGCAGAUAUCAGGAGGAACACCGGUGGCGAAGGCGGGUCUCUGGGCCGAUACUGACGUGAGGAGCGAAAGCGUGGGGAGCGAACAGG